UACGAGGGGGGCAAGCGUUGUUCGGAAUUACUGGGCGUAAAGGGCUCGUAGGCGGCCAACUAAGUCAGACGUGAAAUCCCUCGGCUUAACCGGGGAACUGCGUCUGAUACUGGAUGGCUUGAGUGUGGGAGAGGGAUGCGGAAUUCCAGGUGUAGCGGUGAAAUGCGUAGAUAUCUGGAGGAAUACCGGUGGCGAAGGCGGCAUCCUGGACCGACAUUGACGCUGAGGAGCGAAAGCUAGGGGAGCAAACGGGG
rnacentral:rRNA from 1 species